rnacentral:rRNA from 1 species
UGGGGAAUAUUGGACAAUGGGGGCAACCCUGAUCCAGCCAUGCCGCGUGAGUGAUGAAGGCCUUCGGGUUGUAAAGCUCUUUUGGCGGGGACGAUGAUGACGGUACCCGCAGAAUAAGCCCCGGCUAACUUCGUGCCAGCAGCCGCGGUAAGACGAAGGGGGCAAGCGUUGUUCGGAAUUACUGGGCGUAAAGCGAGUGUAGGCGGCGAGCCAAGUCGGGUGUGAAAGCCUCGAGCUCAACUCGAGAAAUGCAUUCGGUACUGGCCUGCUAGAGGACCGGAGAGGAUAGUGGAAUUCCCAGUGUAGUGGUGAAAUACGUAGAGAUUGGGAAGAACACCAGUGGCGAAGGCGGCUAUCUGGACGGUUACUGACGCUAAGACUCGAAAGCGUGGGGAGCAAACAGG